UAUUCUUCAUGAAUCAGCCCCUAUGUUUGAAACAAAUCGUUGCAGCAACAAGGAAUGACAGCAUGACAGCCUGGAUGCAGUGGGAAGAACUGGUGCAGUUUAAAAGGUGGCAACCAGAACUGUCUUUCUUCUCACGAGAUGGAGUACCAAGCCUGUUCAUACACCUGAAAGCUGUCACUCUCCACAAGUGCAAUCUCUGUCUCCCUCACCACUGGGCAUCUGGAAGUCAAGAUAUCACUUACAGCAGCGCAUGUCAGAGAUAUUAAUUAAAUUCCUGAUGGCCACCCAGAGAACUUAAUGAAUGCAGAUUUCACAAUGUCCCAACUCAUAAAACUACAUGUUUAACCCAUUAAGUGUCAAUAUAUUUCUUCCAGGAGGAAAGAAAAAGGGAAAGUUGGCAGCCAAGGGAUUGUAUAAGAAAGAUUUGGGGGACAAAGGCAUCUAACGGACUUUCUGGAAGUCUGAAGAACAAUGU
rnacentral:lncRNA from 1 species